GGAGUUGUGCCUGAGUUUAAAGGGCCACUUUGAUAGAGUGAAUCACGAGGGUUAAAGUCCCCCCAGCUCCU
rnacentral:tRNA from 1 species